rnacentral:rRNA from 1 species
UACGAAGGGGGCUAGCGUUGCUCGGAAUCACUGGGCGUAAAGGGUGCGUAGGCGGGUUCUUAAGUCAGAGGUGAAAUCCUGGAGCUCAACUCCAGAACUGCCUUUGAUACUGAGCGUCUUGAGUUCGGGAGAGGUGAGUGGAACUGCGAGUGUAGAGGUGAAAUUCGUAGAUAUUCGCAAGAACACCAGUGGCGAAGGCGGCUCACUGGCCCGAUACUGACGCUGAAGCACGAAAGCGUGGGGAGCAAACAGG